ensembl:lncRNA novel transcript, antisense to DENND1C
GUAGAGACAAGGCCCCACUAUAUUGCCCAAGCUGGUCUCAAACUCCUGGGCUCAAGCAAUCCUCCUGCCUCGGCCUCCCAAAGUGCUGGGAUUACAGGGGUGAGCCACUGCACCCGGCCAGUUGAUCUUACCUUAUACAUUAGAAGGCUCUGCACCCCCUUCAAGCCACUCUUGGCCUAUAAAGGAGUGGACAGAGAAUUACCCAAGGGUGGUGGGAUCCUGGGCAUUUGAGAGCUCAGCCUUCUGUCCCCUAAGAUAGCUUUUUUUUUUGCCAUCUGCAUGUCUCAAAUACGUUCACCACCCCCCAUACACCACCUAAGAAGUCAAUGCAAACUUUCACCCCUUUGACUAAUAUAAAAUGAGUAUUCCUGGAGGCAGUCAUCCCCAAAGAAAAUGGGGAGUGGCAAAGCAACAGGGCAAGGUGUUCCUGUUUCAAAGCGGUGAAGAACAAAAUCGCACGGACAAUUUUGAGCUGCAAAAAUUGGCCCCAGGAAACUUCUGAGCUUGGGAGAUAAAAGGCAGAACCUGGAAUUGUAGCAUCCAAGGACAAAAAGAAUGUUUGCCAGCAAAUCUUGGCUGUCAAUUUUAAAGGGGCCGUGGGCGGGGCGGAGGGGGGCGGGUAGGAUUCCAACAAAAAAUGAGUAUAAUAAAUAAAAAAUAAAAGGGGGAAGAGUUGUUAAUGGUUUAA